AUUUAUUAUUUGUUUAUUUCAUGAUCGAUUGAUGCUCUAUUGUUAUUAUGGAUCAUGCCUAGCUCCCAUCUAUGGAUUCAUUACAUCUUUUUAGUUAUUCCGAAAAAGAAAAAGAAUAGAAAAGAGGAAGCUGUCGUUACAAUGAUGUCUAGCUUCCAUCUACGUUCAUUGAUCAAUACUUUCCAGCGAGUCAUGCGCGCGUUAGGAGACCACCGCUCUCUCGACUUCGUUCGUUCCAUUUUCGAUGUCCUUUUUUCUAGAUUCUAUUUACCACCGUCAUGAUUAAGGUAAGUGUGGUCUAGUCCCUCAAUAUGUUCGAUGUUGUUCACUUAUUGGAAUUCUAAUCAUCUUUGUUUUGGUGGAGAGAAUAUAAUUAAGUUGUCAGCAAAUGAAAUCAAUUUAAAUGGUUUCUUCUGAAGGACAAAAUCUCAAGGCGGGUGUGAUAUGGGGAUAACCGGAUAAUCAUCAAUAACUCCCAACAAAUUGACUUUAGAGAACGACAAAAGUAGGCAAGAAAAUUAUUGGAUUGGCCAACAAUGAGAAGAUAAAAGCCAUGUUGCGUACUCGAAGCUUUAAGACACGUCUGAACAUCCAAGAGAAUGACUCAAACACCUACGGAAGUAAAACGUUUUCUAUAUGUUUCUAAAAUUUUUACUGCAUAAACCUAAAUUACUGCGAAAUAAUAUGAGUGGUGGAUUUGAGACGUUUCUAUGUCAAUCCUGCCGUUGCGUGCGUUUUUGUUUUUAAGCAACGUCAAUUAAUGCCAUACAACUAUCAAAGCAUAAACUUCAUUUUUUUCGUGGAGGUUCGGCUUCACUCUCUAUCCUAAACAUCUCCUGCAAUAAGGACACGCAAAGUCUGAGAAUUCCGGUUCAUAAGUUUGCAUCUCUCUAAACAAAGAGCUGCAAUGGAAAAGCAGAAAAAAAAUAUGAUUCAACUGUGAUCUGAAAUCUUGAGGCAAGCUUCAAAGUUUCUUACUUCUGGCACCAAAGAAUCAUAUUGGCCCGACGACCAGAUGCUGUGGCUCUAGCACCAUGGACGUGGCAGCCACGGUGAAGUAUAGCUUGACCCGGUAUAUGGCAGUAAUCAAAAUAUUCCUGCUACAAAGGAAGCUACUCAAAAGGACUCAAAUACCUCUGGCUUUGGAUCUAUAUCCAUAUGUUUAUUGCAUCGUGCGCCUGCGAAAAGUAUUUCUCCUCCCUCACCUUGUUUACUCAAACAAACAUUCAAUGUUAUGUCUGAAUCUUCCACAUGAAAGCCUGCAGAUUUAAAAGAUCACUGCUUAAUCUUAUACUAAACCAGAUUAAUGUUUUGCUAUUAAAGAAUUCACUCUGGUUUUUCUCUAGGUAUCACAAUUCAUGUUUGC
rnacentral:lncRNA from 1 species